GAGGGCUGGGCUCGGGGGU
rnacentral:siRNA from 1 species